GAUCAUGGCUCAGGAUGAACGCUGGCGGCGUGCUUAACACAUGCAAGUCGAGCGAAACACUUAAGUUUGAUUCUUCGGAUGAAGACUUUUGUGACUGAGCGGCGGACGGGUGAGUAACGCGUGGGUAACCUGCCUCAUACAGGGGGAUAACAGUUAGAAAUGGCUGCUAAUACCGCAUAAGACCACGGUACUGCAUGGUACAGUGGUAAAAACUCCGGUGGUAUGAGAUGGACCCGCGU
rnacentral:rRNA from 1 species